GACGUAGGGCGCGAGCGUUGUCCGGAUUUAUUGGGCGUAAAGAGCUCGUAGGCGGCUCGUUGCGUCGGCUGUGAAAAACCCGCAGCUCAACUGUGGGCUUGCAGCUGAUACGGGCGGGCUGGGAUUCGGUAGGGGAGACUGGAAUUCCUGGAUGUAGCGGUGAAAUGCGCAGAUAUCAGGAGGGAACACCGGUGGGCGAAGGCGGGUCUCUGGGCCGAUAUCGACGUGGAGGAGCGAAAAGCGUGGGGGAGCGAAACAGGG
rnacentral:rRNA from 1 species